rnacentral:tRNA from 1 species
GACGAGGUGGCCGAAUGGUUAAGGCGAUGGACUGCUAAUCCAUUGAGUUCUCCCCGCGUGAGUUCGAAUCUCAUCCUCGUCG